rnacentral:piRNA from 1 species
UUCCUACUUGGAAAGAUAGGAAAGGCCUAA